CCUGAGCUCAGGCAAG
rnacentral:rRNA from 1 species